rfam:Stegodyphus mimosarum contig38353, whole genome shotgun sequence.
GCCUUCGUGGUGUAGUGGUCAGCACGCUCAACGCGUAACCGAGAGGUCCCGUGGUUCGAUUCCCGGCGAAGGUG